rnacentral:rRNA from 1 species
ACGGAGGGGGCUAGCGUUGUUCGGAAUUACUGGGCGUAAAGGGCGCGUAGGCGGCCUUGAUAGUUGGGCGUGAAAGGCCUGGGCUCAACCCGGGAACUGCGUUCAAUACUGUAAGGCUAGAGUGUGGGAGAGGUUGGUGGAAUUCCCAGUGUAGAGGUGAAAUUCGUAGAUAUUGGGAAGAACACCGGUGGCGAAGGCGGCCAACUGGACCACAACUGACGCUGAGGCGCGAAAGCGUGGGAAGCAAACAGGA